rnacentral:tRNA from 2 species
UCGGGAGUGGUGCAACGGUAGCACGUCUGACUCUGGAUCAGAAAAUUGGGGUUCGAAUCCCUGCUCCCGAG